GCGGGCGUAGCUCAGUGGAUAGAGCAACGGUCUUCUAAACCGUCGGUCGGGCGUUCGAGUCGCCCCGCCCGCGCCA
rnacentral:tRNA from 1 species